UGAUCAUGCCACGCAUGGUCCUUGUUGAAGAUGAUAGCUGCACCAAGACUCCUGGCUGGGUUGAUACCAGUUCCGGUAAUGGGGAUAGUGGCCAAGUGAACCAAGAAAACAGCAAAUCCAAUGGGCAAUGGUGCCAAGAUCUGAAAAUUGAGCAUUAUCAUUAUCCGUUGCAACAAUAUUAUGUUCAUUUAAAUUUUAUCUCUCAUAAUCCAAUUUUGCCUACAAAUUAGCUGCAAACGUGUACUAUGGUAAUCAUAUGAUUAUCUGAUUACAAUACCAUUUCACGUUAGCAUAAAUCAUAAGUUGCGGUUUGAGUCCAAAAAAUCACUAGUUUUCACACCUUAAUUUCCACUUUGUAGACUAAAUUAGUUUGUUUAAAAGAAUACCAAUCAAACUAUACACACAAUUGGAAUAAAUUCAUCUUAAAAAUCAAAAACACAAGAGCGACGGGGGAGGGGGCUUACAGGAACAUGGGAGUCUCUAGCGCUACGCUUGGCAUCAGUGGCUGAGAAGACGGUGUAAACAAGGACAAAGGUACCAACAAUCUCAGCACCCAAACCAUCCCCUUUGGUGUAACCAUGAGCUACAACAUUAGCACCACCACCUUGAAGAUUAUAUUGCCUCUUUCCUUCAAAACCUUUGACUACUCCAGCUCCAC
rnacentral:lncRNA from 1 species